GGUAAGUGGCGGUGUGCCUUACGCAUGCAAGUUGACGGUAAGUUGGUCUUCGGACUAACACAAGUAGCAGACGGGUGAGUACAACACCAGGAACACUACCCUCAAGUGGGGAAUAGCCAGUCGAAAGACUGGGUAAUACCGCAUGUGAUCUUCGGAUCAAAGCCUUCGGGCGCUUGGGGAGAGGCCUGUGCCCUAUCAGAUAGUUGGUGAGGUAAUACCUCACCAAGCCGACAACGGGUAGCCGGUGUGAGAGCACGACCGGCCACAAGGUUACUGAGACACGGAACCUACACCUACGGGUGGCAGCAACUGGGAAUAUUGCGCAAUGGGCGAAAGCCUGACGCAGCGACACCGCGUGUGGGAAGACGCUCUUCGGAGUGUAAACCACUGUGGCAGGGGAACAAUUUUUGAGGGUACCUGCUAGAAAGCACCUGCUAACUACGUGCCAGAAGCCUCGGUAAUACGUAGGGUGCGAGCAUUAUCCGGAUUUAUUGGGCGUAAAGCGUCCGUCGGCGUUUUAUUAAGAUUUAACUUUUAAUACUGGAGCUUAACUCCAGAUACAAGGCAUUAAAAUACUGGUCCAGCAUUGAGUAGGAGGAGAGGAAAGCUGGAAUUCCUCGGUGUAGAGGUGAAAUUCGUACAUAUCAGGAGGAACACCAGGUGGCCGAAGGCGACUUUCUGGCCCUAUACUGACGCUGAGACGCGAUGAGCGCUGGGUAGCAAACAGGAUUAGAUACCCUGGUAGUCCACGCUGUAAACGAUGUUCACUAGGUGUUGGGGGUAUUGACCCUCUCAGUGCCGCAGCUAACGCAUUAAGUGAACCGCCUGGGGAGUACGGUCGCAAGAUUAAAACUCAAAGGAAUUGACGGGGCCCGCACAAGACGGUGGAGCAUGAUGGUUUGAUUCGGAUGCACACGCUAAGAACCUUACCUAAGGCUUGACAUCCCGUGAAUUUUUGUGGAAACACCAAAAGUGCCCUUUCCGUGGGAACCCCGGCACACAGGUGCCUUGGCAUUGUCCUCGUCACGCAGCUCCGGUGCCAAUGGCAGAUCUGUUGGUGCAGGUCCCCGAACCGAGUUACCGACCCCUUCUAUCCUUUUAAUUUGCCAGUCAAUUCAGUAUGGGGCCCCUUUUAAACCAUNNCUUNCCCGUGNUCNANCCGGGNAGGAANGUGGNGGACUGANNGNCNAAGUGCUUNUGGCNUCUUUAUGNNUUGGGNGNNANGNACGNNUUANUCAAUGGGGCGGGUANAUAAAANCCCUCCNANNUCCNNGUGNAANNGCGCCGCAUUUCUGAAANNCCNUUCCNNNCUNUUCNGNNUUGGANNNUCNCCAUCUCCNACCUCCCUUGNACANUNGGAAAUNNNCAUGGUGACNCU
rnacentral:rRNA from 1 species